UACAGAGGUGGCAAGCGUUGUUCGGAAUUACUGGGCGUAAAGGGCGCGUAGGUGGCCUUUUGAGUCAGACGUGAAAUCCCCCGGCUUAACCUGGGAAUGGCCGUUGAAACUGGCGAACUGGAGUGUGGCAGAGGGGGGUGGAAUUCCGCGUGUAGCAGUGAAAUGCGUAGAGAUGCGGAGGAACCCCAGAGGCGAAGGCGGCGCCCUGGCUCGCAACUGACGCUCAGACACGACAGCAUGGGGAGCGAACGGG
rnacentral:rRNA from 1 species